CCUACGGGUGGCAGCAGUGAGGAAUAUUGGUCAAUGGUCGGGAGACUGAACCAGCCAAGCCGCGUGAGGGAUGAAGGUACAGAGUAUCGUAAACCUCUUUUGUCAGGGCACAAAGGCGGGGACGCGUCCCCGGAUGAGUGUACCUGAAGAAAAAGCAUCCGCUAACUCCGUGCCAGCAGCCGCGGUAAUCCGGAGGAUGCGAGCGUUAUCCGGAUUUAUUGGGUUUACAGGGUGCGCAGUGGGUCUGUGAAGUCAGCGCUAAAAGCCCGGGGCUAAACCCCGGCCCGCAGUUGAAACUGGCAGUCUCGAGUUGGAGAGAAGUAUGCGGAAUGCGCGGUGUAGCGGUGAAAUGCAUAGAUAUCGCGAAGAACUCCGAUUGCGAAGGCAGCAUGCCGGCUCCACACUGACGCUGAGGCACGAAAGCGUGGGUAUCGAACAGGAUUAGAUACCCCAGUAGUC
rnacentral:rRNA from 1 species